rnacentral:rRNA from 1 species
AACGAACGCUGGCGGCAUGCCUAACACAUGCAAGUCGAACGGGAUCCACCUUUCGGGGUGGUGAGAGUGGCGGACGGGUGAGUAACACGUGGGAACCUGCCUUUUGGUUCGGGAUAACCGCGGGAAACUGCGGCUAAUACCGGAUGUACCCGCGAGGGGAAAGAUUUAUCGCCAGAAGAGGGGCCCGCGUCCGAUUAGGUAGUUGGUAGGGUAAAGGCCUACCAAGCCGACGAUCGGUAGCUGGUCUGAGAGGAUGAUCAGCCACACUGGGACUGAGAUACGGCCCAGACUCCUACGGGAGGCAGCAGUGGGGAAUAUUGGACAAUGGGGCAACCCUGAUCCAGCAAUGCCGCGUGAGUGAUGAAGGCCUUAGGGUUGUAAAGCUCUUUUGCCAGGGAAGAUGAUGACGGUACCUGGAGAAUAAGCCCCGGCUAACUUCGUGCCAGCAGCCGCGGUAAUACGAAGGGGCUAGCGUUGUUCGGAAUUACUGGGCGUAAAGGGCGCGUAGGCGGCCAUUUAAGUUAGGUGUGAAAGUCCUGGGCUCAACCUGGGACUGCACUUAAUACUGGGUGGCUUGAAUUCGGGAGAGGAUAGCGGAAUUCCCCAGUGUAGAGGUGAAAUUCGUAGAUA